rnacentral:tRNA from 1 species
UGCGCCCGUAGCUCAGCAGGAUAGAGCAGCGGUUUCCUAAACCGCAGGUCGGAGGUUCGAAUCCCCCCGGGCGCGU